GCCACUGCUAUUGGGGUUCGGCUAAGCCAUGCGAGUGGAGGGCGUCCCGCAAGGGAUGGCCCCGCAGACGGCUCAGUAACACGUCGUCAACCCACCUUAGGGUGGGGGACAACCUCGGGAAACUGAGGAUAAUCCCCCAUAGGCGGGGGAGGCUGGAAUGCGCCCCCGCUGAAAGCUCAGGCGCCCUAGGAUGGGACGGCGGCCUAUCAGGUAGUUGGUGGUGUGACG
rnacentral:rRNA from 1 species